CCUACGGGUGGCAGCAGUGGGGGAUAUUGCACAAUGGGGGGAACCCUGAUGCAGCGACACCGCGUGGGUGAAGAAGCGCCUCGGCGCGUAAAGCCCUGUCAGCAGGGAAGAAAAUGACGGUACCUGAAGAAGAAGCCCCGGCUAACUACGUGCCAGCAGCCGCGGUAAUACGUAGGGGGCAAGCGUUAUCCGGAUUUACUGGGUGUAAAGGGGGCGCAGACGGCGAUGCAAGCCAGGAGUGAAAGCCCGGGGCCCAACCCCGGGACUGCUCUUGGAACUGCGUGGCUAGAGUGCAGGAGGGGCAGGCGGAAGUCCUGGUGUAGCGGUGAAAUGCGUAGAUAUCAGGAGGAACACCGGCGGCGAAGGCGGCCUGCUGGACCGCGACUGACGUUGAGGCUCGAAAGCGUGGGGAGCGAACAGGAUUAGAUACCCUAGUAGUC
rnacentral:rRNA from 1 species